CGCCACUGCCGCGUGGUUACAAGACAGCGGGCGGCCGCGUACUAGUUUCCUCAGUACUUGUGCGUCCGUAGCAAUACCGUGUGCUGUAAACUGAACGAAGAGACUCAUUCAGUUUUUGGUCGCCUCUCCAUUAUCUCGUGGUGACGUAAAGGUGACGGCCCGUGUGUUAGUUUCCCCGGUAAUUGUGCCUCCGUAACAUUACUGUGUGCAGUGGUCGUGAGAACUGCGGGGCGGCGGUGUAGACUGUGCCGUGGAGAGUCGCGGGGUGUUGGAAUCGCCUCCCAGUCUCCUUAAAGGCGUCAUAUUCCCUCCCUGCUCUGAUCGGUGUGUCUUCCUGUCGAUGUUGAGGGCGUGGGGGCGGGGCGGCCACAGUGCGCCCCUUCAUUGUGUUUAGACAGGAGGAGAGCGGCAUGGCAGCCUGCAAAAAAUAAGAUUAAAUAAGUGGCACCUCCGAGGCUGCGACAAUGCAGCCGUCUGUUCUUCACGUCAGCUACACGCAUAGCAGCACACCCGCGAGUCCCAUACAUUUUCAACUCCUCUGACGGGGAAACAAAGCCUUAAAAUGCAUAUGUGUAUAGAACAUUUCCUACUUAGAAUUGCACGUUCCUUCACCUCUUUCAGUAUUUGCAGAAACACGCGUUACACCUUUUAUACAGUGGACAACAAGCAAAACAACACCUACGUGUUCUGAAACGCUUCAUUUGUCUCACCACAUUUUUUUUUCUUUUCAAAUGAUGAUAGGUUCUGAAUAGCCGGGUUUUAAAUGCAUUUCCCCUGUUAAUAAUAUAGAAAUCGUGUUAAUCUGUCACUAGAACCAUAAAAACAUCUUUUGAAAACCUGUGCAACUUCAUUUAGAGUCUUAUCAGUUUAGUGGAGGUGCGGCGCAGAAGUGUUUCAGAAUAGGGAUCAUUGUCUCGUUUUCCCCCAACCUGGCGUCCCCGCUCGGCCCCUUCCACGACUCGCAGCGAGAGAGAGAGGUCGAGGUGCGGUGGUCUUGUGGCGGAAGCCUGAAGGAGGCGGUGAAGGAGUGAAGGUGUGAAGUGUGUGGCUUCCACUUCACCAUCCUAUGAACAGCCUGCAGGAAUCUCUAUCAACACCUGCUUCUGCAAUAUUGGCAUCUGGUUAUCAAAUAGUGCUGUCACGCUGGGCCUGACAUACUCCAUUGCAAUUGGGGAAUCAAGCUUCACCAGGAAGAGAGGCCGAGCAUCAUGACCUUCAAGCCUUCAAGCCCUACAAGAGGUGUUAAGUAUUGUCAGGACAAAACAGAGGGCCUGGUACAAGAGUUUUCAUUGCAAUCAAGGAAGAGUCAAGUUGCAGUAAGAAGAGUGUGGCAAGAAUUUUAAGCAGGAGGAAGACUGUCAAGCAGUUGACGGCAGGAAGAACGCGUGAAAUUCCCUUAAGUCGUGGCAGGACCAACAGGCAACCUUCAACACCUGCAGAGGCACAAGAGUUGUGGGCAGUUUCACCAGGAAGAGUUUGCUCCUCACUCAAGUUGACACAGACACAAGAAUUUGCAAGUGUUGUUACUCCGAGACCCUGCUGCAAAUGUUCUCCAAUCCACUCCAGUCUGGGAAGGAAGAAUGUAGGAAGUCCCUCUCUUCUGUACUCAACAAGCACCACCACCACCACCACCACCACCUUCAUUCAGGCUUGGGACAAGUUUUGUACAUUCCAGCACUUCAGUAUUAAAGAAAACAAGUGCCAUGUUUAUUAUCCUGUUGUGUAUUUAUUCACUUAACAUUCACAGUAAAACAAUAAACAUUCAGUAUUC